GAAGCUGACCAGACAGUCGCCGCUUCGUCGUCGUCCUCCUUCGGGGGGAGACGGGCGGAGGGGAGGAAAGUCCGGGCUCCAUAGGGCAAGGUGCCAGGUAACGCCUGGGGGGUGUCACAGCCCACGACCAGUGCAACAGAGAGCAAACCGCCGAUGGCCCGCGUAAGCGGGAUCAGGUAAGGGUGAAAGGGUGCGGUAAGAGCGCACCGCGCGGCUGGUAACAGUCCGCGGCACGGUAAACUCCACCCGGAGCAAGGCCAAAUAGGGGUUCAUAAGGUACGGCCCGUACUGAACCCGGGUAGGCUGCUUGAGCCAGUGAGCGAUUGCUGGCCUAGAUGAAUGACUGUCCACGACAGAACCCGGCUUAUCGGUCAGUUUCACCU
rnacentral:RNase_P_RNA from 17 species